rnacentral:rRNA from 14 species
UCAUGACUGGGGUGAAGUCGUAACAAGGUAACCGUAGGGGAACCUGCGGUUGGAUCACCUCCUUA